ensembl:lncRNA
AUGUACGCCAUACUAGACGAACAGAGCAAUCGCUCACUAGCGCGGUCUGAGUUUUUUGAGAUUUUUAAGAUCUCUGGAAAUUCCUACUCGUAUACCCUCAAAACCUGUGCGGGGUGUUCAGAGACGGUGGGAAGGAGAGCCAGUGGUUAUACUGUGGAGUUGGUGGACAAGAAAAUUAGCAUUCGUUUGCCUACACUCCUGGAGUGCAAUCAAAUCCCUAACGUUCGCACUGAGAUUCCUACGCCGGAAGCAGCUUACCAUCAAGCCCACCUGAAGCGCAUCGCUGACAAGAUUCCGCCUUUAGAUCCGGACAGCAAAAUUCUCCUCUUACUGGGCAGAGACAUCUUACAAGUACACAAGGUCCGAGAACAGAUUAGCGGCCCAGGUGAUGCACCAUUUGCGCAAAGGCUUGAUCUAGGAUGGGUCAUCAUUGGUGAUGUGUGCCUUGGAGGUGCUCACAGAACACAAGAGGUGAGAAGCUACAAAACAGCCAUUUUCGAGAACGGCCGUACAAGCUAUCUUCAACCAUGCAACAACCAGAUCAAAGUAAAAGAGAUAUUUGAGCAAGCGUUUAGACCUCAGCAUCAUUCAGCACCAAUCUCCAUCAGUGGUUCCAUGACGCUCGGUGGAGACUGCUUAGGGCAGACCGUCUUCGCUCGUUCUCCCGACGAUCAUAGACUCGCUCCAUCCAUGGAGGAUCUAGAGUUUCUGAAGAUAAUGGAGGCUGAGUGUUUUCAGGACAGUUCCAAAAGUUGGGUCGCACCUUUACCCUUUCGGUUGCCGAGACAGAGGCUGCCUAACAACAGGAAGCAGGUUUUUGACCGUUUUGUCUCGCUCCAGCGCUCAUUGGAAAAACGACCACAGUUGAAAGCCGAUUUCCUAGAGUUUAUGGAGAAGAUGUUCAAGAAGGCACACGCUGAAGUCGCUCCGCCAGUACAGCCUGGACAAGAGUGUUGGUACCUACCCCUGUUUGGUGUGUAUCAUCCAAGGAAACCAGAUAGGAUUCGUGUGGUCUUCGACAGUAGUGCGUCAUGCGAAGGAGUGUCAUUCAACGAUGUCUUGCUAACUGGUCCCAACCUUAAUAAUAGCCUGCUUGGUGUCCUUAUGAGGUUCAGGAAGGAACAGGUGGCGAUCACUGCCGACAUCGAGCACAUGUUCCACUGCUUUGUAGUCAAGGAAGACCAUCGUGACUUUCUUCGCUUCCUGUGGUACAGGGACAACGACCCUACCUCCGACAUCAUUGAUUACAGAAUGCGGGUUCACCUUUUUGGGAAUAGUCCCUCGCCUGCCGUAGCAGUGUAUGGUCUGCGACGGGCAGCUAAGAAAGCAGAAGCAGACUAUGGUAGUGAUGCAAGAAGAUUCAUCGACCGCGAGUUCUAUGUUGACGACGCUUUGAAGUCCUUCAGCACAGAAGAAGAGGCCAUCAGCGUCCUAGGGCGAGCUCAGAAGAUGCUUGCAACUUCCAACCUCAGGCUACACAAAAUUGCUUCAAACCGACCGGCAGUUAUCGAAGCGUUUCCAUUUGAAGAUCGCACCAAGGACGUCAACAGCCUAGAUCUCUUUGUUGAUGAUUUGCCAAUACAACGUAGCCUUGGAUUGCUCUGGAACAUGCGCACAGAUACAUUCAUGUUUCGAAUCGAAGAUGACCAGAGGCCAUUCACUCGUAGAGGAGUGCUUUCGACUGUGAACAGCCUCUACGAUCCUCUAGGAUUCCUCGCACCCAUCACGGUUCAUGGAAGACUGAUACUCAGAGAGCUAACUAAGCAAGCAGAGGAUUGGGACACACCUCUUCCCAAAGACAUGGAGACUGAAUGGACUAGAUGGAAACGGUCGCUCCAAGAUCUGCACGGACUCCAGAUACCACGCCCUUAUACGUCAUUCUCCACCGCAGGUGCUCUAAGAAGAGAGCUCUGUGUCUUUGCAGAUGCAUCGGUAAAGGCAAUAGCAGCCGUAGCCUACAUCAAGGUGACAAGCCACCAGGAACAGACUGAGAUUGGCUUUGUCUUCGGGAAAGCAAAGUUGGCGCCUCAGCCCGAUCUAACCAUCCCAAGGCUUGAGCUUUGUGCGGCUGUACUCGCCAUCGAGAUCGCUGAGAUGAUAGUUUCAGAGAUGAACACCAUGUUCGACAACAUCGCCUACUACACAGAUAGCAAGGUUGUAUUGGGAUACAUCCAGAACCAGUCGAGAAGAUUCUAUGUCUACGUACACAACAGGAUCCAAAGAAUCCGUCAAUCACCUUGUUCUGGCCUUUGGAAGUACGUCCCAACACACCUUAACCCAGCCGACAUUGGAUCAAGAACUGUGACUUCAGACUUGCUUAGCAGCACAACUUGGCUCAAAGGUCCAGCCUUUCUUUACGAUGCGUUUUUGCAUUCAUCUGAGCUUCAAGAAGCUUACGACCUUAUCGACCCUGACGCUGACUCUGAAGUGCGUCCCCAGGUGGUGGCAAGUUUCACUCAUGUUACCAAAGAUGUGAUACAUCCACAACGCUUCGAGCGCUUCUCUAAGUUCAGUGCUCUCCUUACAGCCGUAGCUUGCCUCAUUCAUGUAGCUCGUUCCUUCGCUCACUCUAUCCAGGAUGAAUGUAAAGGGUGGCAUGUCUGUCGACCUACAGAGGAAGAAUUGUUGAAAGCCAAAGUGUGUAUUGUGAAGAGUGUCCAGAACGAGUACUAUUCAGAGGAGCUUAAGUGUAUUAAUUCAGGAUCCAACCUUCCACCGAAUAGCAGCCUUUGGAAAUUGCACCCCAUCUUAGACCAAAACCAACUUCUUAGAGUAGGAGGUCGAAUUGAGCAAUCGGAUCUGAGUAUAAAUGAGGUUCAUCCCAUAAUCAUUCCUGGCCGGCAUCAUUUAGCUACUCUGAUUGUGUCUCACUAUCACGAAGCAGUGAAACACCAGGGAAGACAUCUGACUGAAGGUGCCAUUCGAACGGCAGGAUUCUGGCUAGUGGGAGCUAAACGCUGCAUUAGUAGUUUACUUCACAAAUGCAUCACUUGUGGAAAACUGAGGGGCAAAAUGGAACAUCAGCAGAUGGCAGCUCUGCCAGCAGAACGGCUGCAAGUAGCACCUCCUUUCACUUACGUAGGUGUCGACGUUUUUGGACCCUGGGAGAUUGUUUCACGUCGUACAAGAGGAGGAGUCUUCAACUCUAAACGAUGGGCUGUGAUGUUCUCUUGUAUGUGUUUGAGGGCAGUCCACAUCGAGGUGAUUGAAGCCAUGAGUACCAGCAGUUUUAUCAAUGCCUUGGGGAGGUUCUUUGCUAUCAGGGGCCCCGCAAAGCAGAUACGUUCCGACUGCGGAACUAAUUUCAUCGGCGCUUCUCGUGAAUUAGAAAUGGACCUGUCGAAUCCAGGUUUCAAACGAGUAGAGGAGUACUUGAACACUCAGAACUGCACCUGGGUAUUCAACCCACCCCACGCAUCUCACAUGGGUGGUGCGUGGGAACGAAUGAUCGGCAUCGCCCGUCGUAUUUUGGAUUGCAUGUUGCUUGAGCAGAAAAGGUCUCAUCUUUCACAUGAAGUCCUGACGACCCUCAUGGCCGAAGUAACCGCGAUCAUGAAUGCCAGACCACUCAUUCCAGUCUCAUCGGAUCCGGAAUCGCUUCUCAUCCUCACUCCAGCGAUGCUCCUUACUCUCAAGAUAGGCUCUGCGCCUCCUCCUCCAUCAGGAAGCUUUCAAGAAGUGCAUCUCAUCAGAGAACAAUGGAAGCAAGUUCAGAGCCUAGCAGACAUGUUUUGGAACAAAUGGAAACAUGAAUACCUCAAAACAUUACAGCUUCGGCACAAGUGGCAAGGAAAGAGGCCGAAUCUUCAAGAAGGAGACGUGGUUCUCUUGAAAGACAAUCAAGCUAAGAGAAAUCAAUGGCCUGUCGGUCUCAUCACAAAAACCUUUCCAGAAGAAGAUGGAUUAGUUCGGAAAGUUCAAGUGGAAAUUGUUAAGGAUGGAGCCAGAAAGGCCUUUUCUCGGCCUGUUACAGAAGUAGUUUUGCUUCUUUCUCCAAAGACUGAUUCUGUCAAUUAA